GACGAACGCUGGCGGCGUGCUUAACACAUGCAAGUCGAACGGAAAGGCCCUGCUUUUGUGGGGUGCUCGAGUGGCGAACGGGUGAGUAACACGUGAGUAACCUGCCCUUGACUUUGGGAUAACUUCAGGAAACUGGGGCUAAUACCGGAUAGGAGCUCCUGCUGCAUGGUGGGGGUUGGAAAGUUUCGGCGGUUGGGGAUGGACUCGCGGCUUAUCAGCUUGUUGGUGGGGUAGUGGCUUACCAAGGCUUUGACGGGUAGCCGGCCUGAGAGGGUGACCGGCCACAUUGGGACUGAGAUACGGCCCAGACUCCUACGGGAGGCAGCAGUGGGGAAUAUUGCACAAUGGGCGGAAGCCUGAUGCAGACACGCCGCGUGCGGGAUGACGGCCUUCGGGUUGUAAACCGCUUUCGCCUGUGACGAGGCGUGAGUGACGGUAAUGGGUAAAGAAGCACCGGCUAACUACGUG
rnacentral:rRNA from 1 species